UGGGUCUGUCGUUGUUUUUCUGGAGUCUAGACAGGGUGGUGCUUCCUCCCUCUUUCUGCUGGCUGGUGACCGUCCCUUUUCAUGCUUGCUGCCUUCUUCCCCACCUCCUCCCAAAUGAGCUUUCCUUGUUGACUCCCACCACAGACUUUUCCUUCUCUUAUGAGAAACGUUAGGAUGCAGUAAAAUUGAACAAACACAGCUCAUCCUACAUUCUGAAGAUGGGGUACAUUUAUCAGAAAAGAAAAACUGCCAGAGAGAAUUCACAUCACUGCAGACAGAGAGUAUCAAAUGGCAAAGAAAUGUACCUGACAACUUUUCAGAAAUUUUAAGACUAUUAAAAGAAGAUCAGUUUGGAGUCUUACUGCAAAGUAAGUGCAAAUUCUUUGCUUAAUGACUGUUUUCCUCUUCCUGAGGACUGAACCCUUUGAUAAUUACCAAGAACACAAUAUUUGUUUUUGGAUUUACCAUCUAGAGCUAUGCAAAUAGCGUUAGUUGAUCACUUCUUUUCUUAAAAGUACCUUGGAAAUAUCAUUAAGAGGACUAAUCCUGGAUUCAGUUUGGGGUUCUUACGUUAAUAAACUUCUGGGAAAACCAACAAAAACACACAGGUACAGAAAAAAACAUACAUAAUUCAGGGGUUAAAAGCAGAAGUCCCCAAGGAAUAAGUGAUCAUGCUGUUUUGAGGUACCUCAAUACAAUUCAUAACUGACUUCGCUCUGGGUGAAUGACCCUGUAGUGA
rnacentral:lncRNA from 1 species